rnacentral:misc_RNA from 1 species
AAGUUCAUUCUCAUAGUUUCAAGAUAGUCUUUAGAAAAUAUGAGAGUUGAACUGUUAUCACAAACAAGCAAUACAUUAAAACCUUGGACUGCAUGAAUGGAAAAGUUGUUACUAAAUUUUCAAGUAUUUAAAGAGAAUACCGGAAGCUCUUAAUAUAAAUUUGCUUCAGCUAAAAUUAAGUUAAAAGAGAAUCUCAUUCCAUGUUAUGUUACAUACAAGAAUUAGGUUCAGAAAAGUAGU